rnacentral:ncRNA from 1 species
UGCAAUUGUUGGUCUUCAACGAGGAAUUCCUAGUAAGCGCGAGUCAUCAGCUCGCGUUGACUACGUCCCUGCCCUUUGUACACACCGCCCGUCGCUCCUACCGAUUGAAUGAUCCGGUGAAGUGUUCGGAUCGCGGCGACGUGGGUGGUUUGCCGUCUGCGACGUCGCGAGAAGUCCACUAAACCUUAUCAUUUAGAGGAAGGAGAAGUCGUAACAAGGUUUCCGUAGGUGAACCUGCGGAAGGAUCAUUG